rnacentral:rRNA from 1 species
UACAGAGGGUGCAAGCGUUGUUCGGAAUUAUUGGGCGUAAAGGGCGCGUAGGCGGUGCCACAAGUCACCUGUGAAAUCUCCGGGCUUAACUCGGAGCCUGCAGGCGAAACUGUGGUGCUGGAGUGUGGGAGAGGUGCGUGGAAUUCCCGGUGUAGCGGUGAAAUGCGUAGAUAUCGGGAAGAACACCCGUGGCGAAGGCGGCUCUCUGGGACGGUACUGACGCUGAGACGCGAAAGCGUGGGGAGCGAACAGG